ACGGGUGAGUAACGCGUGGGUAACCUGCCUCAUACAGGGGGAUAACAGUUAGAAAUGACUGCUAAUACCGCAUAAGCGCACGGAACCGCAUGGUUUUGUGUGAAAAACUCUGGUGGUAUGAGAUGGACCCGCGUCUGAUUAGCUGGUUGGCGGGGUAACGGCCCACCAAGGCGACGAUCAGUAGCCGGCCUGAGAGGGUGAACGGCCACAUUGGGACUGAGACACGGCCCAAACUCCUACGGGAGGCAGCAGUGGGGGAUAUUGCACAAUGGGGGAAACCCUGAUGCAGCGACGCCGCGUGAAGGAAGAAGUAUCUCGGUAUGUAAACUUCUAUCAGCAGGGAAGAAAAUGACGGUACCUGACCAAGAAGCCCCGGCUAACUACGUGCCAGCAGCCGCGGUAAUACGUAGGGGGCAAGCGUUAUCCGGAUUUGCUGGGUGUAAAGGGAGCGUAGGCGGCGACGCAAGUCAGAAGUGAAAGCCCGGGGCUCAACUCCGGGACUGCUUUUGAAACUGCGUUU
rnacentral:rRNA from 1 species